rnacentral:rRNA from 1 species
UCAAUAAGCGGAGGAAAAGAAACCAACAGGGAUUGCCCUAGUAACGGCGAGUGAAGCGGCAACAGCUCAAAUUUGAAAUCUGGCGCAAGCCCGAGUUGUAAUUUGGAGAGGAUGCUUCUGGGCAGCGGCCGGUCUAAGUUCCUUGGAACAGGACGUCACAGAGGGUGAGAAUCCCGUAUGUGACCGGCGCGCACCCUCCACGUAGCUCCUUCGACGAGUCGAGUUGUUUGGGAAUGCAGCUCUAAAUGGGAGGUAAAUUUCUUCUAAAGCUAAAUACCGGCCAGAGACCGAUAGCGCACAAGUAGAGUGAUCGAAAGAUGAAAAGCACUUUGGAAAGAGAGUUAAACAGCACGUGAAAUUGUUGAAAGGGAAGCGCUUGCAACCAGACUUGUCGGCGGUGUUCCGCCGGGCGUCUGCCCGGCCCACUCGCCGCCGACAGGCCAGCAUCAUCUGUGGCCGCCGGAUAAGACGCGGGGAAUGUGGCUCCCUCGGGAGUGUUAUAGCCCCUCGUGAUACGGCGCGCCGCGGGUGAGGUCCGCGCUUCGGCAAGGAUGCUGGCGUAAUGGUUGUCAGCGGCCCGUCUUGAAACACGGACCAGGAGUCUAACAUCUAUGCGAGUGUUCGGGUAUCAAACCCUUGCGCGUAAUGAAAGUGAACGGAGGUGAA